rnacentral:miRNA from 1 species
CUCGGCUUGUCUGCUUGGCCCUG